GGCCGAAGAAGAUGCAUAAUAUAUGUUGGAGAAGUUAAUGUGAUAAUUACAUGGGAAAUUGCCAAAAAUAUUAUUUUCAAAGUACCACUUUUUAUGUUUACACUAACCAAUUUUACCUUCAUCUUUAAUGAAGAGUAAAAGACAUUUAUAACCUUUUGAUUAACUUUGACAAAAAAAAACAUAAGGUUAAGUAAUCUAAACUUAAAACAUCAACUCUAAACCCUAAAUCAUCAACUCUAAACCCUAAACCAUGAAACAUCAACUCUAAACCCUAAACCCCGAAACAUCAACUCUAAACCCUAAACCAUAAACCCUAAACCUUCAAAUCUAAACCCUAAAACAUCAGUUCUAAACCUAAACGUAAACCCUAGACCCUAAAUCUAAACUAAAAACAUCAACUUUAAACCCUAAAUCAUCAACUGUAAACCCUAAACCAUAAAACAUCAACUAUAAACCCUAAACCCCGAAACAUCAAUUCUAAACCCUAAACCUUCAAAUCUAAACCCUACAACAUCAAUUCUAAACCCUAAACGUAAACCCUAAACCCUAAUUAAAAAAUGUUUUGCAUUUAAGUCAAAUAAUAUAGUGAAUAAGUUAAUAUUAUGACCGAAAAGAAUUCUAAGAUGGAUUUUUGUUUCGUUGAUUGUAUGUUUUGUAUUACUAUUUAGAGAGAAAAAAUAAAUAUUUGGCAAAAUUAUGUAAAAAAUUAGGAAAACAUUAGCAAAAUUUUUAUAAAAAAAACGAAAUGAUAACGAAAAAAAUAAGAAGAGGCCGAAGAAGAUGCAUAAUAUAUGUUGGAGAAGUUAAUGUGAUAAUUACAUGGGAAAUUGCCAAAAAUAUUAUUUUCAAAGUACCACUUUUUAUGUUUACACUAACCAAUUUUACCUUCAUCUUUAAUGAAGAGUAAAAGACAUUUAUAACCUUUUGAUUAACUUUGACAAAAAAAAACAUAAGGUUAAGUAAUCUAAACUUAAAACAUCAACUCUAAACCCUAAAUCAUCAACUCUAAACCCUAAACCAUGAAACAUCAACUCUAAACCCUAAACCCCGAAACAUCAACUCUAAACCCUAAACCAUAAACCCUAAACCUUCAAAUCUAAACCCUAAAACAUCAGUUCUAAACCUAAACGUAAACCCUAGACCCUAAAUCUAAACUAAAAACAUCAACUUUAAACCCUAAAUCAUCAACUGUAAACCCUAAACCAUAAAACAUCAACUAUAAACCCUAAACCCCGAAACAUCAAUUCUAAACCCUAAACCUUCAAAUCUAAACCCUACAACAUCAAUUCUAAACCCUAAACGUAAACCCUAAACCCUAAUAUUUUUCAGAAAUUCGAACCCUAAACCCUAAAACACUAAACCUUCAAAUCUAAACCCUAAAACAUCAACUCUAAACCCUAAACGUAAACCCUAAACCCUAAAACCCUAAAACCCUAAACCUUCAAAUCUAAACCCUAAAACAUCAGCUCUAGGGUUUUAGGGUUUAGGGUUUAGGGUAUAGGAUUUAGGGCUUAGGUUUGAAGGUUUAUGGUUUAGGGUUUAGAGUUGAUAUUUUAAGGUUUAGGGUUAAUUUUUAGGGUUUAGGGUUUAGAGUUUACUUUUUAGGGUUUAGUGUUGAUAGUGUAGGGUUUAGUGUUGAUGGUUUAGGGUUUAGAGUUGAAGUUUAGGGCUUAGAGUUGAUGUUUUAGGGUUUAUAGUUGAAGGUUAAGGGUUUAGGGUUUAGAGUUGAUGUCUCGGGGUUUAGGGUUUAGAGUUGAUGUCUUGGGGUUUAGGGCUUAGAGUUCAAAA
rnacentral:lncRNA from 1 species